rnacentral:tRNA from 1 species
GGUGAUAUCGCCAAAUGGGUUAAGGCAAAGGUUUGCAAAUCCUUUAAUUCUCAGUUCAAAUCUGAGUAUCUCCU